rnacentral:lncRNA from 1 species
CUGGGACCUGUUCUCAAAAGUAAGAGGAGUUUGAUGCUGAGAAAGAUGGGGCUGUCCUCCUCCUGGAAUCUGACCCUCCAAGAUGGUGAUGAGGCUGGAUAUAAGAGAGCAAAAGGAACACAAAACAAGAGCUUUUCACUUGCCUUCCUCCUGGCUCAGAAGUAAUGUCCACCCACCCACCCAUCCACGUUUUCACUCUUCAGCAUUCCUUGUGGAUACUGACCUGAUGUGUGUCCUUGCACUGUGGUUCCCUUGAGGCCAGACUCCAAGCCUUUAUCCCCUGACACUGAUAGCAAAUAAAUGACUGCAUUGCCCCAAAAUAAAAUUCCCCAUAAAUCUGAUAUUUUGCUUUAAUCUGUCUGAUACCCAGAGUGUGCUGGGGUUAUUGAUAGGAAAGUUUAUGGAUGGGCUGCA